rnacentral:rRNA from 2 species
AGACGGGUGAGUAACGCGUGGGAACGUACCUUUCGCUACGGAAUAGCUCUGGGAAACUGGUGGUAAUACCGUAUACGCCCUUAGGGGGAAAGAUUUAUCGGCGAAAGAUCGGCCCGCGUUGGAUUAGCUAGUUGGUGAGGUAAUGGCUCACCAAGGCGACGAUCCAUAGCUGGUCUGAGAGGAUGAUCAGCCACACUGGGACUGAGACACGGCCCAGACUCCUACGGGAGGCAGCAGUGGGGAAUCUUGCACAAUGGGCGAAAGCCUGAUGCAGCCAUGCCGCGUGAAUGAUGAAGGCCUUAGGGUUGUAAAAUUCCUUCGCCAGGGAUGAUAAUGACAGUACCUGGUAAAGAAGCCCCGGCUAACUUCGUGCCAGCAGCCGCGGUAAUACGAAGGGGGCUAGCGUUGUUCGGAAUUACUGGGCGUAAAGCGCACGUAGGCGGACUUUUAAGUCAGGUGUGAAAUCCCGGGGCUCAACCUCGGAACUGCAUUUGAAACUGGAAGUCUUGAGAUCAGGAGAGGUUAGCGGAAUACCGAGUGUAGAGGUGAAAUUCGUAGAUAUUCGGUGGAACACCAGUGGCGAAGGCGGCUAACUGGACUGAUACUGACGCUGAGGUGCGAAAGUGUGGGGAGCAAACAGGAUUAGAUACCCUGGUAGUCCACACCGUAAACGAUGAGAGCUAGUUGUUGGCAGGCAUGCCUGUCGGUGACGCAGCUAACGCAUUAAGCUCUCCGCCUGGGGAGUACGGCCGCAAGGUUA